CAGGUAGCGUUUCUGACUCUUAAAGAUAUCUUGAAUGUACUUUCAGAGAAAUGCCUGCAAAAGCUGUAGGGAGGAACAAGUCUGGAAGAAAAAUAUGCAACGGACAAGCACCAAGAGGGGUUCAUCUGCGUUGUGGCAUGCAUCAGAACUUAAUUUCUCUUUAUGGGAAAGACUGAAAAAGGAAACAUCUUUCCCUAAGAUAUCCAACUAGAAGGAUUUGUCUGGCUAAAAGGAAAACUUUAUUGUAGAAUGCAGUAUUGCCAUAUGGGAGAACUUUUUUAAAAUUAUGGAUAAUACAUAAAGAAAAAAAAAUCCUCACAACUGGACCAGUAAGCAACAUCAUGAUAAA